GGGGAUUUAGCUCAGUGGUAGAGCGCUUGCCUAGCAAGCACAAGGCCCUGGGUUUGGCCCCAGCUCCA
rnacentral:tRNA from 1 species